rnacentral:rRNA from 1 species
GACGAACGCUGGCGGCAUGCCUAACACAUGCAAGUCGAACGGAGAAUCACUUCGGUGAUUCUUAGUGGCGAACGGGUGAGUAACGCGUAGGCAACCUGCCCUUUGGAUGGGGACAACAUUCCGAAAGGAGUGCUAAUACCGAAUGUGACGAUUUUACCGCAUGGUUUAAUCGUGAAAGAUGGCCUCUACAUGUAAGCUAUCGCCAAAGGAUGGGCCUGCGUCUGAUUAGCUAGUUGGUGGGGUAACGGCCCACCAAGGCGACGAUCAGUAGCCGGUCUGAGAGGAUGAACGGCCACAUUGGGACUGAGACACGGCCCAAACUCCUACGGGAGGCAGCAGUGGGGAAUAUUGCACAAUGGAGGAAACUCUGAUGCAGCGAUGCCGCG